AUGGCUUACUAUUUAGAUUAUCAUGCUUUUGUCGAGCAACACUACAAACAACACGGAAAGUAUUCAAGACUUGAUAAUUAUCCAAUGCAGGGAUUUAGGUACAAUGACGAGAGCAACAACUAUGCACCACAACAAUGCGAUUCACCUCCUACUCAUAUACCUCAACACCAGGAGAUGUUGCCAAUGGAGUUAAAUGGUCCUCGAUUUGGUCAACCAACACCUUCAACACAAGUGCCCACACAAGAUGAUUUUGAUGAUAUAGACAAGCUCACAUUGCUUAGUCUCGAGUUCAUUUGGAGUGUUGAAGAUGAUCCAAUGAGGCCGGUGAUACUAGAGGAAAUGAAGGAGAUCAAGAGUGGAAAAGAGCUAGUGGAAGAAGUAAGGAAGAUUGAGAAGAACAUCAACGCUGGUAGUACUAUCUCCUCCCUCCUUGAGCCGAGUGUUGCCGAGAUUCCCCUUGAUACAUGUGAGGUUCCAAUACCGUCACAUCCAGCUGAGCAAGAUAGUAAGCAUCCAGAGGAAGAAAGACCUCAGAUUGAAGAAGAAAUACUUGAAGACAAGGAACAAGAUGAUCCAGAGCUCGAACAACAAAGUGAUCAAGUUGAAGACUCAUCAUCUAUUACUCUUGAAGAAGCAAAAGAAGUUGAUGUGAUUGAAGAUGAAGAACCAGAAAUGCAUUUGCCCAUCGUCCUACAGGAGCGUGAUUUAGCAGGUUCAAGGUGA
rnacentral:rRNA from 1 species